rnacentral:rRNA from 1 species
UAUGUGAUCGUCUCUCGCAUAUCAAUAAGCGGAGGAAAAGAAACUAACAAGGAUUCCCCUAGUAACGGCGAGUGAAGCGGGAAGAGCUCAAAUUUGAAAUCUUAAAGGGUUUCCCUUUACGAAUUGUAGUUUAAAGAAGUGUUUUCUGUUGAGGUUUUGGUAAAAGUUCUUUGGAGUAGGACAUCAUAGAGGGUGAGAAUCCCGUAUUUGACCUUUACUUUCAACUUUGUGAUACACUUACAAAGAGUCGGAUUGUUUGGGAAUGCAGUCCAAAAUGGGUGGUAAAUUUCAUCUAAAGCUAAAUAUUGGCGAGAGACCGAUAGCGAACAAGUACCGUGAGGGAAAGAUGAAAAGAACUUUGAAAAGAGAGUUAAACAGUACGUGAAAUUGUCAAAAGGGAAGCGUUUGACACCAGUGUUGUUUUUCUGAAAAUCAAUUAAAGAACUGUUUAUGCUAAGUUGCUUAGACUUUAUCAGCUAACUGUUUAGUUUUGAGCUUUUCUUUAAUGCACUUUUCAGUUAACAAGUCAACAUCAAUUUCUUUUGCUGUAAAAAAGCUUGAGGAAGGUGGCUUGAGAUUCGUCUUAAGUGUUUAUAGCCUCUUGCCUAUGCAGUCGGAGAGAUUGAGGUCUGCAGCGUAGAUCCUUCGGGGCUAAAUGCAUUUGUGCUAAGUUAUAGCAUUUUAUAGACAACUUGUUGACUAUGAUUUGUCUCGUAGCUUACUCGCUUAUGUUAUUUUACCUACGCUUAGGAUGUUGAGUAGCGACAUACGCAC